UACGUAGGUGGCAAGCGUUGUCCGGAUUUACUGGGCGUAAAGAGCGCGCAGGCGGUCGUUCAAGUCGCGUGUGAAAGCCCCCGGCUCAACUGGGGAGGGUCACGCGAUACUGAUCGACUCGAAGGCAGGAGAGGGUAGUGGAAUUCCCGGUGUAGUGGUGAAAUGCGUAGAUAUCGGGAGGAACACCAGUGGCGAAGGCGACUACCUGGCCUGUUCUUGACGCUGAGGCGCGAAAGCUAGAGGAGCAAACGGG
rnacentral:rRNA from 1 species